rnacentral:rRNA from 1 species
UAGGGAAUCUUCCACAAUGGACGAAAGUCUGAUGGAGCAACGCCGCGUGAGUGAAGAAGGUUUUCGGAUCGUAAAGCUCUGUUGUUGGUGAAGAAGGAUAGAGGCAGUAACUGGUCUUUAUUCGACGGUAAUCAACCAGAAAGUCACGGCUAACUACGUGCCAG